UACGGAGGAUCCAAGCGUUAUCCGGAUUCAUUGGGUUUAAAGGGUGCGUAGGCGGAAUGAUAAGUCAGUGGUGAAAUCCUGCAGCUUAACUGCAGAACUGCCAUUGAUACUGUCAAUCUUGAGUACAUUUGAUGAGGGCGGAAUGUGUCAUGUAGCGGUGAAAUGCUUAGAUAUGACACAGAACACCGAUUGCGAAGGCAGCUCUCAAAACUGUAACUGACGCUGAGGCACGAAAGCGUGUGUAUCAAACAGG
rnacentral:rRNA from 1 species